UACAGAGGUCCCAAGCGUUGUUCGGAUUCAUUGGGCGUAAAGGGUGCGUAGGUGGCGUCGUAAGUCGGGUGUGAAAUCUCGGGGCUUAACUCCGAAACUGCAUUCGAUACUGCGGUGCUUGAGGACUGGAGAGGAGACUGGAAUUUACGGUGUAGCAGUGAAAUGCGUAGAUAUCGAGAGGAACACCAGUGGCGAAGGCGAGUCCCUGGACAACUCCUGACACUGAGGCACGAAAGCUAGGGGAGCAAACAGG
rnacentral:rRNA from 1 species